rnacentral:rRNA from 1 species
CGGGGGGAGCAAGCGUCGUUCGGAUUUACUGGGCGUAAAGGGCGCGUAGGCGGCCACCGCAAGUCGACUGUGAAAUCUCCGGGCUUAACCCGGAAAGGUCAGCCGAUACUGCGGGGCUAGAGUGCAGAAGGGGCAACUGGAAUUCUCGGUGUAGCGGUGAAAUGCGUAGAUAUCGAGAGGAACACCUGCGGCAAAGGCGGGUUGCUGGGCUGACACUGACGCUGAUGCGCGAAAGCUAGGGGAGCGAACGGGAUUAGAUACCCCGGUAGUCCUAGCCUUAAACGAUGAAUGCUUGGUGUCUGGGGUUUUAUAGUCCCCGGGUGCCGUCGCUAACGCUUUAAGCAUUCCGCCUGGGGAGUACGGUCGCAAGACUG